rnacentral:lncRNA from 1 species
GUUUAUGAAGACAAGAUUAAGUCUUAAGAAACUCCUCCCUUUUUCGAAUUUCUCAUCCCAGAUUAUGUGGGAUUUGGUUUGUUCUGUUUUAAGCUAAUGCCAAAAGUGUUUUUUGGAUGUUUAGGUUAACCUUCUGGGUAAAGCUUCAAACUGUAUGAUUUAUUUAGUUGUUUUUCAGUUCUCUAAGUGCUUUUGAAAAGUGC